rnacentral:rRNA from 1 species
UUGACCUCGGAUCAGGUAGGGAUACCCGCUGAACUUAAGCCAUUCAAUUAUGCCGGGAAAAAU